rnacentral:rRNA from 1 species
GAUGAACGCUAGCGACAGGCUAACACAUGCAAGUCGAGGGGCAGCACAUGAGUAGCAAUACGAUGGUGGCGACCGGCGCACGGGUGAGUAACACGUAUGCAACCUGCCUUCUACUAUGGGAUAACCCGUUGAAAGACGGACUAAUACCGUAUAAUACAGGGGCUCCGCAUGGAGAUAUUUGUUAAAGAUUUAUUGGUAGAAGAUGGGCAUGCGUAUGAUUAGAUAGUUGGUGAGGUAACGGCUCACCAAGUCAACGAUCAUUAGGGGUUCUGAGAGGAAGGUCCCCCACACUGGUACUGAGACACGGACCAGACUCCUACGGGAGGCAGCAGUGAGGAAUAUUGGUCAAUGGACGAGAGUCUGAACCAGCCAAGUCGCGUGAAGGAAGACGGUUCUAUGAAUUGUAAACUUCUUUUGUGCAGGAAUAAAGUGGGUUACGUGUAACCUUUUGUAUGUACUGUACGAAUAAGGAUCGGCUAACUCCGUG